AAAUAAGAAGCAAUUAUUGCAAUUAGUUUCGACCUAAUUAUAUGGUAUCAUAAAAUACCCUUAUUUU
rnacentral:tRNA from 1 species